rnacentral:rRNA from 1 species
CCUACGGAGUGCAGCAGUGGGGAAUAUUGGACAAUGGGCGAAAGCCUGAUCCAGCCAUGCCGCGUGUGUGAAGAAGGCCUUCGGGUUGUAAAGCACUUUCAGUGGGGAAGAAAGCCUUGGGGCUAAUACCCUCGAGGAAGGACAUCACCCACAGAAGAAGCACCGGCUAACUCCGUGCCAGCAGCCGCGGUAAUACGGAGGGUGCGAGCGUUAAUCGGAAUUACUGGGCGUAAAGCGCGCGUAGGCGGUCUGAUAAGCCGGUUGUGAAAGCCCCGGGCUCAACCUGGGAACGGCAUCCGGAACUGUCAGGCUAGAGUGCAGGAGAGGAAGGUAGAAUUCCCGGUGUAGCGGUGAAAUGCGUAGAGAUCGGGAGGAAUACCAGUGGCGAAGGCGGCCUUCUGGACUGACACCGACGCUGAGGUGCGAAAGCGUGGGUAGCAAACAGGAUUAGAUACCCCUGUAGUC